UACGUAGGGGACGAGCGUUGUCCGGAAUUAUUGGGCGUAAAGAGCGUGUAGGCGGCUACUCAAGUCCUGCGUGAAAUCUCGAGGCUCAACCUCGAGCGGUCGUGGGAAACUGGGUGGCUAGAGUGCGGGAGAGGAGAGUGGAAUUCCCAGUGUAGCGGUGAAAUGCGCAGAUAUCAGGAGGAACACCGGUGGCGAAGGCGGGUCUCUGGGCCGUAACUGACGCUGAGGAGCGAAAGCAUGGGGAGCGAACAGG
rnacentral:rRNA from 1 species